GUGUGUGUGGCUCAGUGGUGGGGCACCUGCCUAGCAAGUUGGGGGCCCUGGGUUCAAUUCACAGCACCUGCU
rnacentral:tRNA from 1 species